GGAAGCACACUUUGAGAAUCUCUGCUUCAAGAAGCCCAGGAGGCAGAGUAUCACUCCAAGCUCCACUCUGUUUCCUUCUGGCAGGAUCACUUACAGGUUUUAUUGAGAGCCUCACAAUACUGACGGCAUUUUGGGAAAGAAGAAAGACAAGUAUCUAAUCCUUCAUGUGUAUAUAGGAAGACACUCACAAUGGUCCAGAAUCAUCUUAUACAGAGACAAACAAACAGG